CUUUACUACAUUGCUCAAAGUGGUUUUGAUUAAAACAGAGAUAUGUAUACAGGUUAUGGUUAUGAAUAUAUAUAUACACACACACACACAGCUAUAUACACACACAUACAGACAGAUAUAGAGAUAUAAACGGUAAUUGUAACUCUGGUUCAACUUCAGCAUCACCUCACAACAGGGUGAUGAAGCACUACAGAAGGGAGGGGCUAUCUCCCCAACCAUAGGAGACUGGUUUCAAGCAUCUUGAAUGGUCUCGAACUAGAGAUCUUGAUCUGUUUUAUCUUGUAUUUAGCUGUGCCAUUCUGAGUACCUUUCUCUGAUCUGAGGCAGGGCUCUGUGUAGCUCGAAAGCCUGCCUCUCUCACCAACAGAAGUUGGUCCAAUAAAAGAUAUUACCUCAUCCACCUUGUCCUCUCUCUGCAACUGACAUGGCUACUACACUGCAUAUACCAGGCCCUUGUCCAGCCCAGGAGUAAACAAUGAGGAAUCAUCAAAGCAAAUGGGAACAGCUUGAAACUGAAAAGAAACCCCAGUCUUCAGAAACUAAGACAGGAGAGAGUUUUCUCCACUUUGAAUAUCUGUAAUGACUGAAGGAAAAAACUGCCACCCCUAAAAUGGAAGGAGUUUGAACUGAAGAUCAUCCAGAAUUUGAAGGACUGUCUGGAUCCCUCCUACAGCAGGUGCCCGGUGUGCAAACUGUGUGGAGUGUGUAUGCCAUAGUGAGCUAACUGGAAGAAUGGUUUCAUGACUUCAGGGGUUAUGAACCAGAGGGGAACAGUCCAAGCACCUGAUAAUUCAGAAUUCAGGGAGGAUUUAUUUGGAGAGACUUGGGACCGGAGGGCUGCUGUUAUCGUCUCUGCAAAGAAUAACUACAUUGGUGAAAGCCAAGGGACUCGGAGUGGCUCUCUCACUACAGAAGCAGCUUUGCCUCUCCUGAAAUUGACACCUCCUCAUCUAUUAUUGGGAGUGGACUACAUCCGUCCUGAUUGAAUUGGCUUUGUCAACACUGGUUCUCCACUUGUGAGGUACUCCCUUCUCUUCACAUGUCAUUACAUAAUGCCUAUAUUUGUAACUUUCACUCCAUGCAUCUGAAGAAAUGAGGUUUUUUACCCAUGAAAGCUUAUGUCCAAAUAAAU